rnacentral:rRNA from 1 species
UCCUAUGGGGUGCAGCAGGCGAGAAACCUUUGCAAUGUGCGCAAGCACGACAAGGUUAAUCCGAGUGUUUCCUGCUAAAGGAAUCUUUUGUUAGUUGUAAAACCACUGAUGAAUAAGGGGUGGGCAAGUUCUGGUGUCAGCCGCCGCGGUAAAACCAGCACCUCAAGUGGUCAGGAUGAUUAUUGGGCCUAAAGCAUCCGUAGCCUGUUCUGUAAGUUUCCGGUUAAAUCCAUUAGCUCAACUAAUGGGCUGCCGAAAAUACUGCAAAACUAGGGAGUGGGAGAGGUAGACGGUACUCGGUAGGAAGGGGUAAAAUCCUUUGAUCUAUUGAUGACCACCUGUGGCGAAGGCGAUCUACCAGAACACGUUCGACGGUGAGGGAUGAAAGCUGGGGGAGCAAACCGGAUUAGAUACCCGGGUAGUCCCAGCUGUAAACGAUGCAGACUCGGUGAUGCCCUGGCUUGUGGCCAGUGCAGUGCCGCAGGGAAGCCGUUAAGUUUGCCGCCUGGGAAGUACGUACGCAAGUAUGAAACUUAAAGGAAUUGGCGGGGGAGCACCACAAGGGGUGAAGCCUGCGGUUCAAUUGGAGUCAACGCCAGAAAUCUUACCCGAAGAGACAGCAGAAUGAAGGUCAAGCUGGAGACUUUACCAGACAAGCUGAGAAGUGGUGCAUGGCC